rnacentral:rRNA from 1 species
GACGUAGGGCGCGAGCGUUUUGUCCGGAUUUAUUGGGCGUAAAGAGCUCGUAGGCGGCUUGUCGCGUCGACUGUGAAAACCCGUGGCUCAACCAUGUGGUCUGCAGUCGAUACGGGGCAGGCUAGAAUUCGGGUAGGGGAGACUGGAAUUCCUGGUGUAGCGGUGAAAUGCGCAGAUAUCGGGGAGGAACACCGGUGGCGAAGGCGGGUUCUCUGGGGCCUUACCUGGACGCUGAGGAGCGAAAGCGUGGGGAGCGAACAGG